rnacentral:rRNA from 1 species
GAUGAACGCUGGCGGCGUGCCUAAUACAUGCAAGUCGAGCGAACAGAUGAGGAGCUUGCUCCUCUGACGUUAGCGGCGGACGGGUGAGUAACACGUGGAUAACCUACCUAUUAGACUGGGAUGACUUCGGGAAACCGGAUCUAAUACUGGAUAAUAUAUUGAACCGCAUGGUUCAAUAGUGAAAGGCGGCUUUGCUGUUUCUUUUAGACGGUUCCACGUCGCAUUAGCUAGUUGGUAAGGUCACGGCUUACCAAGGCGACGAUGCGUAGCCGACCUGAGAGGAUGAUCGGCCACACUGGAACUGAGACACGGUCCAGACUCCUACGGGAGGCAGCAGUAGGGAAUCUUCGACAAUGGGCGAAAGCCUGACGGAGCAACACCGCGUGAGUGAUGAAGGUCUUCGGAUCGUAAAGCCCUGUUGUUGGGAAAGAAAAACAGUGUAAUUAUCUCCCGACGUCUUGACGGUACCCAAAGAAAAAGCAACGGCUAACUACGUG